GUGGGGUCCUGAGCAAUGCCUGGCACUGUGUCCCUGUCACUGUCACCCGCUCAGGGACAUCAGGGACAUCAAGGAGCCCUGGAGAUCAAUGGGAUCUGUGGAUCCUAAAGGGUUCCAUGGCCCCAAAACGUCCUGCAGACCCCAAAGAGUCCUGCAGACCCCAAAAUGUCCUGCAGACCCCAAAAUGUCCUAUGGACCCCAUUGGGUUCCAUGGCCCCAAUGGGCCCUGCAGACCCCAAAUCAUCCCACAGAUCCCAGAGCCCUGCAGACCCCAAUGGGUUCCAUGGCCCCAAAGUGUCCUAUGGACCCCAAUGGGUUCUACACACCCCAAUGGUCCAAUGGACCCCAAAAUAUUCUACAGACCCCAAAAUGUCCUGCAGACCCCAAUGGGUUCUGCAGGCCCCCAGCUCCUAUUGACCCCAAAAGCUUCCACGGACCCCAAAAGGAUUUUAUGCCUCCCCCAAAGGAUUUUAUGCCCCCCCACAAAGGAUUUUAUGGCCCCCCUCAAAGGGUUCUGGAGACCCCAAAAGGGUUUUAUGGACCCCAAAGGGUUUUAUGGACUCUAAAGGAUUUAAUGGACCCCAAAGGGUUCUGGAGACCCCAAAAGGGUUUUAUGGACUCUAAAGGGUUUUAUGGACACCAAAGGGUUCUGGAGACCCCAAAAGGAUUUUAUGGACCCCCCAAAGGGUUUUAUGGACUCCAAAGGGUUUUAUGGACCCCAGAGGGUUUUAUGGACCCCAAAAAGUUCUGGUGACCCCAAAGAUUUCGAUGGCCCCGAAGGAUUCUGCAGGUUCCUCACAGCUC
rnacentral:lncRNA from 1 species